UCCCAGAGAGCUCAGCCAGUAGAACAUGAGACUCAUAAUCUCAGGGCUGUGGGUCUGAGCUCCACAUUGGGCA